UGGGGAAUCUUGCACAAUGGGGGAAACCCUGAUGCAGCGACGCCGCGUGAGUGGUGAAGCCCUUCGGGGUGUAAAGCUCUUUCGACAGGAACGAUAAUGACGGUACCUGGAGAAGAAGCUGCGGCUAACUACGUGCCAGCAGCCGCGGUAAUACGUAGGCAGCAAACGUUGUUCGGAGUUACUGGGCGUAAAGAGUGCGUAGGCGGUUUGCCAAGUCUGGUGUGAAAUCUCCUGGCUUAACUGGGAGGGUGCGCCGGAUACUGGCAGGCUUGAGUGUGGGAGAGGAAAGCAGAAUUCCUGGUGUAGCGGUGAAAUGCGUAGAUAUCAAGAGGAACACCUGAGGUGAAGACGGGUUGCUGGGCUGACACUGACGCUGAGGCGCGAAAGCCAGGGGAGCAAACGGGAUUAGAUACCCUUGUAGUCCCUGAGCGGGCUGGCAAGGCGCAU
rnacentral:rRNA from 1 species